rfam:Arthrobacter sp. 7749 genome.
CGGGAUAUGGCGCAGCUUGGUAGCGCGCGUCGUUCGGGACGACGAGGUCGCAGGUUCAAAUCCUGUUAUCCCGA